CACGAUUAUUAAUAACAAAAGGUAUUGAUUUUGAUUUAUGUGUUUACUCUAAUGUAUAUAUUUUUAUGUAUACAAAUUAUUAUUUAAAUAGGUGGUUUCUAAUAUGUUAUUUGAUCCUGAAAAUCCUAGAAAUACACUUGUUCGAAUCGAAGUGAUUUUUAAUAUUGGAAACACUAUAUAUUAUCUUAUACAAUAAAUGAGAGUUGUCUCUCUCCUUCUUCCUCCACAUCAUCGUUUUAGUAUGGGCAAAAUUGGACACGUGGCAGGUGAUUUUUUUUGGUUCACUCUUUCUUUUUUUUACGUUUUGAGUGUUGGGCCUCUUAUUUUGUCUUUUGUUAUUAUAGUUUUCUGGAUUUUGGGCUUUUACAAGACGUUUUUGUUCAGACCAAUCACGUGUAGGGUUUCAUUAUCUUCUUAACUUUAACAUUCAUAGCUCAGCAAGUCAGCAUCCUUGCUAAGCCGUCGAUCAACUCACUAUAACGUAUCUCAUUUGCAUUAAAACUUACUUUAAUCCGAGUUUUAACGUGAUUACCCCCACCUCCUACUCUCAAAACAUUCAAUUGGACUCAUCGUCUCCCAAUUAAACCGACGGGGGCUCCGACUAUAAAUCUCCUAGCGAUGACAGCACAACUUCACCAAAUCGAGAAGAACGAGGACCAGUCUCCAAGGUCUUCCGAUCCGUUCACCCUCUCGAUCACUCUCUAACUUUCGUUAUCAUCUCCUUGCUACUUUCGAUUUCAAAAUUUUAGUGUUUUUUCUUUGUUUUUUAUGUGGGAUAGUGUUGGAGAUCAAGAGAUCAAAGGAUUGAUCUUUUGAUUUUAACACGAUUAUAAUUUUAUGUGCAGGAAGAUGACAGGCUUAAGAGUAUGUGAUCAGUGAUGCUACUGCGAUUGUCCAGACAAGUUUAUAGCAUCGUAUAAUAUCGUGGACGGUACUGUAUACCAGGCUCCACAGCGUUGUAGUGUCUUUGCAGCUCGAGUUGUAUGUUUCUUCAUCUUUUCUAUUUACGUUCAUGUGUUGCUUAGAGGGCUGAGACGCAAACAGUUUUUUUUUGUUGCUGCUAAAGUGUUUUUUUUUUGUUUUCUUCUCUUUCUCCUCUAGGGUUGGCUGUUUAUAAUAUUUAGAAGGCUUUCUCUGCAGCUGCAUUAAAGUAGGAGACCAUUAGGCAGGUUGAUGCCAAAAACCAGAAUGAGCCUUCUGAGACAAAGCCCCCAAUAAUACACAAUCUUUCACACCACUUCUCUUUCGAUUCAUCAAAAGAUGUCUUCAUAGAAAACAUGAAGCAACACACCUUAUAUAAGAAAAAAACGGAAUUGAACAGUAUAUAUGUCGAAGAAGUCAAGACUUCUUUGAGCAACGCGUUUCUUCAGGCCGAUCUUGCUUUAGCAAAGGACUGCAACAAAGGCUCUUUUCUCAGGUUUUUCUUCUGGUACCUGGUACCUCGGCUCUUGCUGCCCUUAUUUUUGGAAGGUAUUUUUGUUAGCUUCGACCAAACUCGUCUUCAGAAUCACUAAGAUUUGAUCUUAAGUGUAGGUUUGUGUGCUCAUGAUUGUUGUUCUGUUUCUGAACCAGACACUUAAUGGUUGCAAAUGCAGGAGAUGGCAGAGCUGUUCUCCGUAGGAAUGGUGAAGCCAUAGACAUGUCUCAAGACCACAAACCCAUCUACUUACCGUAAAGAAGAAAGUCGAAGGAAGUGGCGGCUUUGACGAUGCCAGUUACUUAAAUGGCAUAGCGAUUAGGACAUGAAACUAUCACGAGGGUCAUGAUAUCCACUCAUAGAAGAGCCAGGAGAUCAAAAAGAUACAUGUAAUAGAGGAAGACAAGUUUCUGAUAAUGGGAUGCGAUAAUUCAAAAGGUUUUUGUAUCGUUAGGUGUGAAUUACGUCGUCACCAUGACCCGAUAAAGCUUGCUUUGAGGUCUUUAAGGCUAGAUAAGUUUGCUAACCUAACAGUGGUUGUUUAAUUCUUGUCGGCUGAUGACAUGGCGAUGGUCGCUCCUCUGGUGGAGGAUCAAGUUUGACGGCAUAAGCUUCUCAGAGAUUGAGGGCCUUAUUUGACGGUUGAAUGAAAAGAUAGUAACAUUCCCUUUUGUGUUCUUGGCUGAGCUUUUUCUUUUUGUUGUAUAUUUGGUGUCUGUAUGUAACUUCCAGUGUCUACAUGCCCCAGUUUUGUGUAAGCGGUUAUGUGUUCAUGAAUGGAUUGAAAGUUUUUAUAUGUACAUGCUUCAUUUAGCUUAUAUAACUCCAUGGAUUCCAGUUUAUGAAAACAAACUAGAUUUGUAUGCUUGGUCGCUAACUACAUGCAUAUCCAAUUUGUAUGCUUGGUUGGUCGCUAUUUUGUCCACUUUCUUAAGCAAGCAAAUAGUUUUGUAAUAUGAACAUUAACAAUAUACAUUAUUAAACACUUAAGGUUAAUUAGGAACCAACAAUUGUCCAACAUGAAAAUAGUUUUACAUAUUUUUUCACUUUUUAGAAGAUCAUAACUACACUAGAAAUUCUACAAAUUAAUAUUCAAUAAAUUAAUAAACAUUAUAAAUUAAUAAACUUAAUCGAUUUCAAGUUGGGUCAAUUCAAAAUAUGACACAAAUUGAUAAAAUAAUAAGAUAAUAUCUUGUUGAAGAUCCCAUGUAAAUAAAUAGUCUCGCUAAAAUCAUAAUUUAAUAAUUUCUAUAUAUAAAAUUCCUGUAAGUAUAAAUAAUAUAUUAUUGUAUUGUUUGUUUUCGAUUUACAAUGGUAUUAUUUUAUAAUAUCUAAAAAUUUGUCUCUAAAAACACAUUUAAAUUAUAUGACACAUAUCUCAUAUACAUCAAAUAAUAUAAUAAAAAGGAUAUGCAGGUCGAUGUAUAAAAUUUAAUGAAUAUAUAAACAGUGAAAUCAAAUAUUUUUUCUUAUUAUACGAAAAUAUUUUCAAAAUAUAUAUAUUUAAAAAUUAUUAUUUUUAUAAAUUAAUAAUUCUGUAAAGUAAUAAAUUUAUAUAGUGCCAACAUUUUUAAUAGAGUUUUACUGUAUUUUUAUUUGUCCAUUUUCUCAAACAAAUAGUUUAGUAGUAUGCAUAUUAACACUACAUUAUUAAACACUAAAACUGAACUAUAAGUUUCUGUCUAACAUGAAAAGUUUCUAUAACUUCCAUAAAGCAAUACAUUUACACUUAAAAAAAAAGCCGCAUCCACAUAAAUUGCUAUAUCAGUUGAAUGUCAAAUUAAUCAACAAUACCAUCAAAAAAAAUGUUCAUAUUUAAAUAACAACAAAAAAGUUUAAAGCAAAUAAGAAAACAACUACAAUUAUUAAUACAUCAGUAACCCGCCAUCUAACAAAAGUUCUAUAUAAGAUCUUCAAUAAA